UACGUAGGGUGCGAGCGUUAAUCGGAAUUACUGGGCGUAAAGCGUGCGCAGGCGGUUUGGCAAGUCAGAUGUGAAAUCCCCGAGCUCAACUUGGGAACUGCGUUUGAAACUGCCAGACUAGAAUAUGUCAGAGGGGGGUAGAAUUCCACGUGUAGCAGUGAAAUGCGUAGAGAUGUGGAGGAAUACCAAUGGCGAAGGCAGCCCCCUGGGAUAAUAUUGACGCUCAUGCACGAAAGCGUGGGGAGCAAACAGGAUUAGAUACCCUGGUAGUCCACGCCCUAAACGAUGUCUACUAGUUGUUGGUGGAGUAAAAUCCAUGAGUAACGCAGCUAACGCGUGAAGUAGACCGCCUGGGGAGUACGGUCGCAAGAUUAAA
rnacentral:rRNA from 1 species